rnacentral:rRNA from 1 species
CACGUAGGGUGCGAGCGUUGUCCGGAAUUAUUGGGCGUAAAGAGCUCGUAGGCGGUGUGUCGCGUCGGCCGUGAAAACCUGCAGCUUAACUGUGGGCUUGCGGUCGAUACGGGCAUCACUGGAGUUCGGCAGGGGAGACUGGAAUUCCUGGUGUAGCGGUGAAAUGCGCAGAUAUCAGGAGGAACACCGAUGGCGAAGGCAGGUCUCUGGGCCGAUACUGACGCUGAGGAGCGAAAGCGUGGGGAGCGAACAGGA